ensembl:lncRNA
CAAGACUCUUCCUAGAGCUGGCCCUAGGCCAAACUGAGCAAUCGGGGGAGAAAGUGCCUUGGUCAGGUAGGUGACCAAGAACCCGAUGGUCACUCUGUCAUUUCUCUGUGAUGGUUGUCCUUCUGGAAGGUUCUCCUAUCUUUGCCGCACUCCACUAAUCAGGCCUUCAUGGUAGAGUGGCCAGACAGAAGCCACUACUCUGUAAAAGGCAAGAUUCUCUGAUUUGAUGAAACCAAGAUUGAACUCUUUGGAGAUCGAACAUCUCUGGAGACCUGAAAAUAGCUGUGCAGUGACUCUCCCCAUCCAACUUGACAGAGAUUGAGGUUCUGCAGAGAAGAAUGGGAGAAUCUCCCCAAAUACAGGCUGCCCAGCUGCCCGCCUUGGGACAUGGAAGGGAGAGGAAACACUGAGAAAGUAAUGCUCUCACUACUUCCCCUCCAGACAGGAAGACCAAACGCCAACCUGUUUUCUUUCCUGCAUGAUCAAUGAAGUUAAAGUACUGUACUGUACAUACUAAUAGUAAUAGGUGAUGUGUAGAUAGGCCUGCGUCCCAAAAUGGCACCCUAUUUCCUAUAUAGUGCACUACUUUUGACCAGUGCCCUAUUAGCCCUUUGACUUUGGGCAAAAGUAGUAAACUAUAAUGGGAAUAUGGUGUCAUUUGGUACGCCCAUAGUUAUGUUCUCCAGAAUUCUCAAAAAUAUAGGUAUCGAAAAGAAAGACUCAUGGCAUUUGUAUAAAUAUAAUAAUGCCUCUUUACUGAACUUUCUGAUUUAGCCUCAGUUUCAAUUCUCCUCAUUAGGAAAUGCGACAGAAUGAGGUUUGGGUCUUGGAGGUGUCCUUUGAUGUGGAGAUUUGGGUCUUGGAGGGGGGCUUUGAUGUGAGUGUCUCUUGUGUGUUUGAACGUGGGAUCGUUUGUACAUUCAUUCUGCAAAAAAAAAAACAGUACAGCUACAGUCACUCACCCUUCUAGAUAACUUGAAACAGUCUAACCAGGUCUUGUGUCUGGAAGCCACCUGCAGAUUCAUACUACAGCUAUGACAAUCCGUUUGUAUUACUAGUAGUAUGGGUUGGGAUUACGGUUCAUUUUUUUUUUAGCUAGCUAGCUACAUUACACGGCCCAUCAAGUUAGCCAGUUGUAUCUGGGGGUGAUUACGGCCAUCUACUGUAUUUCAUGAACAUGUGUACAUGUCUAGACAAUAGUGACCCAUCCACUUAGCUGGAUGUGACUGGGGAGUGGUUAUAGCAUGACCCAUCCAAUGUAAACAAGUGUGUCUGGGUAAGCAGCUGAUAAUGAUCAAAUAUUUUUAUCUGGACACCCUUUGUUUUUUUAUAUUGC